rnacentral:rRNA from 1 species
GAUGAACGCUGGCGGCGUGCCUAAUACAUGCAAGUCGAGCGAACGGACGAGAAGCUUGCUUCUCUGAUGUUAGCGGCGGACGGGUGAGUAACACGUGGAUAACCUACCUAUAAGACUGGGAUAACUUCGGGAAACCGGAGCUAAUACCGGAUAAUAUUUUGAACCGCAUGGUUCAAAAGUGAAAGACGGUCUUGCUGUCACUUCUAGAUGGAUCCGCGCUGCAUUAGCUAGUUGGUAAGGUAACGGCUUACCAAGGCAACGAUGCAUAGCCGACCUGAGAGGGUGAUCGGCCACACUGGAACUGAGACACGGUCCAGACUCCUACGGGAGGCAGCAGUAGGGAAUCUUCCGCAAUGGGCGAAAGCCUGACGGAGCAACGCCGCGUGAGUGAUGAAGGUCUUCGGAUCGUGAAACUCUGUUAUUAGGGAAGAACAUAUGUGUAAGUAACUGUGCACAUCUUGACGGUACCUAAUCAGAGAGCCACGGCUAACUACGUG